CUUUAAGUGCCCUGAUUCCAACUGAGUGGUUCUCAAAUUUCCUGUAAUGGUCAUGUGUACUUGAAAAGACAGUUGGAAUCUAAAUUCUACCCCAGUGUGGAAACAGGUCACAUGCUGGCAUUGGAGACAGUUGUCUGCCACGCUAGCUUAAUAAGGCAUCUCAGGUUACACUGUGCUGGGUAGUUUGCAAAGGAGAGUUCUCAUGUAGUGAUGGAAAGUAAUUGCAGAAAGAACAAGAAGUUGUGGCAGCAGCAUAUUUUUCAUGUGUUAUCAGGUUUUCAAAUAGUGCAACUAAUUUCUGAAAUUCCCAAUUAAUUCAAAACAGCAAAAUAAAUAAUACUAAGAAUCUGCUGGUGGGAUUCCAGAAAAUUAAUUAGCAUUGCUACCUAAACAUUUGGGCAAAGGAGGAACCAUCUGAUAAUGAAAUGUGGAGAUUCAAUUAACUGGAAGACCUCAUUGAAUUGUGUUAUCUUUAGCAGCCUUUUAACUCUGCUAAAUGUCAGACUAAUCAUAAUUUAGCUGAAAGUCCCAUUUCUUCCCAUUUAAAAAAAGCAUUCACUUUCACUUCCUUGCAGACUGUGGGACCAAAAAAAAAAGAAAGAAAAAGAAAACCCCCCUCAUCUCAACAGAAAAUUACUCACGACUUUCUGCUGUUUAGAGAUGAAAACUUUCUGUGUGAGAAAAAGAAUACCAGCCAGUCCCUGAGAAUAAGUAACAGCAAAUGCAUCUUGACAUUAUACUUCCAAACCAAAACAUGGCAUACCUUUUGGUAAAGGACUUCUAAAUGACUAGAAGACUGUAAAGUAGAUUAAAGAAUCUGGUCCAGUUUUCUUCUAUAAAAGACA